CCUACGGGAGGCAGCAGUGAGGAAUAUUGGUCAAUGGACGAGAGUCUGAACCAGCCAAGUAGCGUGAAGGAUGACUGCCCUAUGGGUUGUAAACUUCUUUUAUAUGGGAAUAAAACGUUCCACGUGUGGGAUUUUGUAUGUACCAUAUGAAUAAGGAUCGGCUAACUCCGUGCCAGCAGCCGCGGUAAUACGGAGGAUCCGAGCGUUAUCCGGAUUUAUUGGGUUUAAAGGGAGCGUAGGUGGAUUGUUAAGUCAGUUGUGAAAGUUUGCGGCUCAACCGUAAAAUUGCAGUUGACACUGGCAGUCUUGAGUACAGUAGAGGUGGGCGGAAUUCGUGGUGUAGCGGUGAAAUGCUUAGAUAUCACGAAGAACUCCGAUUGCGAAGGCAGUUCACUGGACUGCAACUGACACUGAGGCUCGAAAGUGUGGGUAUCAAACAGGAUUAGAUACCCCAGUAGUC
rnacentral:rRNA from 1 species